AGCAUUAAACGAAAUACUUGUAAAAAAUUGUGGGAAAAUAAAAAAUGAUAAAUAAAUUUUUCGAAACUCAUCUUCACACGCUUUUCUUAAAAAAAAUUUGAUUAAACCCGCGUAACCGUAUGCUAUCAAAAGUAAAAUUAAAGACUGAGUGGCAAAACUAUAAAGAGAGAAAAAUGAACAGAAAAAAUUGAAAGUGAGAUUCAAAAAGAAGAUAUGCGGCUAGCUGACAUCACAACAAUAUUUAAAGCAAGAUGUGGUUUAUUAAAACUGAAUGCAAUACAAGCGAAGAAGAAGGAAGGUUCCCUGUACUGAAGGAAAUCACACAGAGAUACUUAAAUGCAGAGAAGCUAAUAUAAAGGGUUUUCCAAUGACAGGUGUUAUUUUGAUAUUUGACAAAUAGAAAUCACGCUAUUAAUAUAAAUGGAACGAUACACGAUUAAACAACGCUUUAAAAUUCACUAUAAAAAUGGACCUUAUCGGACCGCAAUACAGAAAUUGCUGAAAAAAUUUGAGAUGUUGGGACAAGUUAGUGAAGUGUGAAGAAUAAAACCCGUGCACGUCGCUCAAGAAGAGCCGAAAAUAUUGCUGCUGUAGCCGAAAGUGUUGAAGUAAACCCAGGUUUGUCAAUUCUUGUAGUUCUUUGGAAUUAGGCAUUCCACAAACGUCAUUACACCGUAUUUUGCAUAAAGAUUUGGGUCUUAAGGCUUAUAAAGUUCAGUUAACAUAAGAACUCUAGCCGGCCGAUCAUCAACAACGUCGCGUCUUUGCUGAUUGGGUCGUUGAUGUUCAUGAAAAUGAUCUGAAAUUCCAUCGAAAAAUCAUCUUGAGUCAUGAGACCCGUUUCCACCUCGGUGGCUUCAUCAACAAGCUAAAUUGUCGGAUCUGGGGCUCAGAAAAUCCAAGAGUUAUUGUUAAAAAGCCUCUCUAUCCUUAACGUGUGAUUGUUUGGUGUGGUUUAUGGUCCAGCGGAUUCAUUGCACUUUACUUUUUCGAAAAUGAAGCUGGAGAAACAGUUACGGUGAAUGGAUUGCGGUAUCGAGAGAUGAUUAACGAUUUUUUAUGGCCGGAAUUGGAUGGUAUUGAUCUGGACAACGUCUGGACGACGCUACAUGCCACACAAGCAACGAAACCAUUGAUCUUUUAUCAAAGUAAUACCUCUUAUUGGAAAACUCUUUAUAUACUAAAUCGUCAAAAUUGGAGAACGCUAACUGGUUUCAUAUACUCAGCCUGGGGUAAUGCGACUAAUCAAGCGAUUGUGCCUUCGAACUCAGUCCACAUACAGCACAAGCAUGCUUGAACAAUAUUAUGAAUAAAGACAUUUUGCGGCAAUUCUUGUUGUUAUAGUCUUGAAGAGAAAACAAAAAUGAAUAGGGAGAAAAGUGUUUUUGAACGCAGCGCGAUGUUUACGCCUAUGGCUUAUCUACAACUGGCUUAAACUACUUGAAACACCUCCAAAAUCUCCAGACAUCAAUGUAAUUGAAGAUCUGUGGGCUCAUUUAUAAAACCAACUGAAAAAGCAUGUUAUUAAAAAUAAAAACGACACGGAAGAGGCUAUUAAAAAAGAGUGGGGAACAAUAUAUCCUUUAACAUGCAAGAAGCUGGUCGAAUCCAUUCCAAUAUGACUGAAUGCUGCAAGAAAAAAUAAAGGCUUUCCAACUAAAUAUUAGCUGAUUGUUUUUUCUUAAAUAUUAUUUGCCUAACUCUACUUUAUACAAACGUCCGAGUUCUUUUUUGUCAUGUAUUUGCUAAGUUUUUAUGUUUGUAUUUUCUAUGUAUGAAUCAGUUAAAUUUUGUUUACGUGUUUUGUAGUUUUGAAAAAUACGCUUGAAGAACGAAAAUAAA